AUGAAUCUGUCUGGAGGCAGAGCAGAGCAGCUGGGAGCUGGCAGUUAUUGUUAUUACUAGAGCUGGGUGUGAUUUUUCCAUGAAACAUCUCUUUGAUGGAAAAUGUCGAUUCCUCUAAACCAAAACUUUUCCAGGAAACAUUCUCAGUCUUGACUUUGGGCCAAAAGAUUUCUCGGGGCCAGGAUGAAGUUCCUGGUCAGAACAUAGGUGACAGAAAGAGACCCCACUUCUCAGGAGGCAGAUUCAGAGCAGGAGCUUGAAUCUGGAUCUCUCGCAUCCCCGUUAAGGUUGUGUAAGCUCUCCAGGGCAGGGAAUGUCCCUGGCCCUGUGUUUGUACACCACCGAGCACAGUGGGACCCUGAUCUCAGCUAAGCACUACUGUUCUCUGAACACUAAAAAGGCUGCCAUUAUUUCUGUGGCUUUAAUACCGUGAACAGUAAAAUGAAAUGUUCCACGGCAACGUGUUCAUUACAAAGGCCGAGGUCAUGAGUAUCCCAAAAAAGAUGUUGAAUCGGAGCCAUUCGUGCCAGCCUCGACGCCAUUCAGCAAAGCCUCUUCUGAGGAACCAACCCCAGUAACAGCGC